rnacentral:rRNA from 1 species
UACGUAGGGUCCAAGCGUUAAUCGGAAUUACUGGGCGUAAAGCGUGCGCAGGCGGUUCUGAAAGUCAGCUGUGAAAGCCCCGGGCUUAACCUGGGAAUGGCGGUUGAAACUACAGGACUAGAAUCUGGCAGAGGGGGGUGGAAUUCCCGGUGUAGCGGCGAAAUGCGUAGAUAUCUGGAGGAACACCGGUGGCGAAGGCGGCAUCCUGGACCGGUAUUGACGCUGAGGCGCGAAAGCCAGGGGAGCAAACGGG